UACGGAGGGUGCAAGCGUUGUCCGGAUUUAUUGGGUUUAAAGGGUGCGUAGGCGGCUAUUUGAGUCAGUGGUGAAAUCCAGCAGCUCAACUGUUGAACUGCCAUUGAUACUGAGUAGCUUGAAUAUAGUUGAGGUAGGCGGAAUUGACGGUGUAGCGGUGAAAUGCAUAGAUAUCGUCAAGAACCCCGAUUGCGAAGGCAGCUUACUAAACUAUAAUUGACGCUGAGGCACGAAAGCGUGGGGAUCAAACAGG
rnacentral:rRNA from 1 species